AUGGCCAUCCGCUUUCCCCGCCCACUGACGCAACAGAUACCGCCUCACAUACAGGUUCCACUCGUUGGGACCUGAUUGUGAGCGGUAUUUAAGUGCUCUCUGCAGCUGUCCCAUUAGCGUGGGCUUUGCUGGAGAGAUCACUCGGCUAUGCAUCUGGGACACAGCUAGGUUGAAGUUCUUAUACUUUGUUUGGCCACAAAGUGAUUGAAACUGCUACAUCACUGGCAGAUUCAGCUGCAAUACUAACCAGCAUUACUGGAAUUAACCCUGACUGGUCAGCAUACUAUCUCACUUUGGAUUUCCCUCUGAAAUUAUCCAAUUACUGUGUCCAUCUGACCUAUGGCUAUGACUUUUUUCAAUCAACACUAAUAAGGUAACUCCAUCACCUAAUAAUUAUUCCCUCUUUUCUCAUUUGAGCGUCCUUUACCUAUAUGAUGCGCUCUAAUUACUUACACUAUAUUUUUACAUUCA